AUUGAACGCUGGCGGCAGGCCUAACACAUGCAAGUCGAGCGGCAGCGGGAAGUAGCUUGCUACUUUGCCGGCGAGCGGCGGACGGGUGAGUAAUGUCUGGGAAACUGCCUGAUGGAGGGGGAUAACUACUGGAAACGGUAGCUAAUACCGCAUAACGUCGCAAGACCAAAGAGGGGGACCUUCGGGCCUCUUGCCAUCAGAUGUGCCCAGAUGGGAUUAGCUAGUAGGUGGGGUAACGGCUCACCUAGGCGACGAUCCCUAGCUGGUCUGAGAGGAUGACGAGCCACACUGGAACUGAGACACGGUCCAGACUCCUACGGGAGGCAGCAGUGGGGAAUAUUGCACAAUGGGCGCAAGCCUGAUGCAGCCAUGCCGCGUGUAUGAAGAAGGCCUUCGGGUUGUAAAGUACUUUCAGCGGGGAGGAAGGUGCUGAGGUUAAUAACCUCAGCAAUUGACGUUACCCGCAGAAGAAGCACCGGCUAACUCCGUGCCAGCCGCCGCCGUAA
rnacentral:rRNA from 1 species